GGCUGAAGAGCUCAGUUGGUAGAGCACUGGACUUGUAGUCCAGAGGUCCUGGGUUCAAGUCCCAGUUCAGCCA